rnacentral:rRNA from 1 species
ACUCAAAUGAAUUGACGGGGGCCCGCACAAGCGGCGGAGCAUGUUGCUUAAUUCGAUGCGACGCGAAGAACCUUACCUGGGUUGAACUACGCCGGAAAAGCCGUAGAGAUACGGUGUCCUUCGGGGCCGGCGAUAGGUGGUGCAUGGCUGUCGUCAGCUCGUGUCGUGAGAUGUUGGGUUAAGUCCCGCAACGAGCGCAACCCUCGUCCUAUGUUGCCAGCGGGUAAUGCCGGGGACUCGUAGGAGACUGCCGGGGUCAACUCGGAGGAAGGUGGGGAUGACGUCAAGUCAUCAUGCCCCUUACGUCCAGGGCUGCAAACAUGCUACAAUGGCCGGUACAAAGGGCUGCUAUCCCGCGAGGGUGAGCGAAUCCCAAAAAGCCGGUCUCAGUUCGGAUUGGAGUCUGCAACUCGACUCCAUGAAGUCGGAGUCGCUAGUAAUCCCGGAUCAGCAACGCCGGGGUGAAUACGUUCCCGGGCCUUGUACACACCGCCCGU